rnacentral:rRNA from 1 species
UCCUACGGGAGGCAGCAGUGGGGAAUUUUGGACAAUGGGCGCAAGCCUGAUCCAGCCAUGCCGCGUGAGUGAAGAAGGCCUUCGGGUUGUAAAGCUCUUUCGGGCUGGGAAGAAAUCGCAUCUCCUAAUACGGGGUGUGGAUGACGGUACCAGCAUAAGAAGCACCGGCUAACUACGUGCCAGCAGCCGCGGUAAUACGUAGGGUGCGAGCGUUAAUCGGAAUUACUGGGCGUAAAGCGUGCGCAGGCGGUUUCGUAAGACAGAGGUGAAAUCCCCGGGCUCAACCUGGGAACUGCCUUUGUGACUGCGAGGCUAGAGUAUGGCAGAGGGGGGUGGAAUUCCACGUGUAGCAGUGAAAUGCGUAGAGAUGUGGAGGAACACCGAUGGCGAAGGCAGCCCCCUGGGCCAAUACUGACGCUCAUGCACGAAAGCGUGGG